rnacentral:rRNA from 1 species
GAAUAUUAGUCAAUGCUCGCAAGAGUGAACUAGCUAACUGAAAUCAUAAAAUCAUUAAUAGUGGUGAUAUGAUAACGUAAGGGAAAAAAAAUGAUAUAACCUUACUAUUAGUGUUGUCCAAAGCUGGUGCCAGAAGACUCGGUAAGACCAGAGACGCAAACGUUAAUCGUCCUAAUCAGGCGUAAAGGGUAUGUAGGCUGCUUUGAAAGUUUUAUUUAUAAUAGCUCUACUUAGUUAAAUCUAAGCUAGAUAAUAUAAAAUGAAUUAAAGCUAGAAUCAUAAAGAGGAUAAACCAAAUAAUACUUAGAGUAGGGAUGAUAUCUUCAGAUACUAAGGGGAAUACUAACGGUGAAAGCUUUUUAUCUAAUAAUGAUUGACGCUGAGAAACGAAGGUGAGAAUAGGAAAUAGGAUUAGAUACCCAGAUACCUCUCACUGUCAACGAUGAAUGGUGGUUGUUAGUAAUAAUAAAACUAGUAACGAUGUUAACACGAUAACCAUUCCGCCUUGCGAGUACGGUUGCAAAACUGAAACCAAAAAAAUUAGUCGGUCUCGGAGCAAACGAAGUGAAGCAUGUUAUUUAAUU